CUUUGCAUUAUCUCUAUUGUUUAAUACGUACUAAGAAAAAAUCCAUCUCUAAUUUGGCAACUACCCGACCAUCUUUCUCCUUGGGCAAAACCUAGCCGCGGCGCCGCCGUCUCUGGUAUUCUGGUGGCCUCCCAUGCCUUCAGAUCUCCCCUGCUCCAUCUCCUCAUGCCGGCGCACCUCCCUUCCCGGCCGGCGCACCUCCUCGUUCCCUCUCCCAUCCCAUCCCCCACGGCGGCCUCUGCCCUGCCUCCGAGAACUAUGACGGCCUACAACACUGAUGCCACCACCUGCCUCCUCUCUCCCCCUGCGGGGAUGGCUUCUCGUCUAUGAGACCAACUUCGUGCUGGCCCUCUACAACGGCGAGCUUGCGUGCUUCCUACUGGAAGAAGAAAGACCUCGCCCCCACGCCCCCAUCCGACCUUCAGCAGUACCUGGACAGAUUCAUGCGUGCAAGGUAAUAUGCUCUUUGUUUUUGUUUUGUUGUUUCAGUCACCCAAAUAAAUUACAUCCGAGAACAGAUAUAACUUGCUCGCUUGAUGUAUAGCUAGUUGGAUGGAAUAUCGAGAUUCUCUCUGUUAACAUAAUAGUUGUCAAUUACGCAACUUGUUAAUUAGUACUGUACUAAGAAACACUUCUAUGUAGUUUUCUGAACUCCCAUCGCUCAAUUGACCACUAUGGACUCAAUUUUAAAUUGAUCUUACAGGUUACUUUAUCUGUUAAUUUCUCCUAAAUUAUCAAUCCUCUACAAUUUGUUUGACAAUAUGCCCCGCGAGAUUAUCCUCAUGAAUCGAGAUGGCAAGUGUUCUCCACCAACACUUCCUUUUUUUUUCAUGAAGUGAACAAUCUUGUGAUGGUAAUGUUACCUUGGUGAAGUGAACAAUCUUGUGAAGCCGACUCUGAUCAGUUAUGUACAGCAAUUGUAUUGUACUGAAACUAUGCUCUUGUGGCUUCUAGUUCUGUACUGGCAAAAGGUUACUCUGAGAGAAUUUUUUUCUGUGACGAUUUUUCCAAGAAUCACACUACAAGGCUACAAGGAUAUCAAGAGAUGCGUAGAAGACAGGGGAGCUGAUGUGGAGCUGAUGUACUGUCAUCUGUAGAAACUAUGAAGUUUCAACUAGUUAGAAUUUGUUUUUGAGUGACAUAUAUGCAAUUUUUUACAUGGAUGUUGUACAACUCAGCUAAAAUUCUAUCAUGGCUAUUCAUAAUAUAAUGUUAUAGGCCUUGCAGUGUGAUGCAUUUUUUC